AUGGACAAUAAUGAUAUCAUAAUGAUACCAGGUAAAAAAAAAAAUACGAGAUUGACGUCUUCUGAUUGGUUGAUCUCUCUCUUCUCUCAUAGGGCUGAUGGUGCGGCAGGCGGGGCCAACUGGCAAACUCCUCAGCAAGGGGCACCCGGUGCUGGAGCUCCCAUGAUGCCCGGCUCUCCCAUGAUGUUCCCCCAACAGCCCAUGAUGAGGCCGCAGUUCCCCACCGGGGGUCCUGCACCAGGAGGACCGAUGAACCCCGCCAUGAGCCCAAGGAAGCCCCCACCCUCCAAAGACCCCCUGGCCGACCUGAACAUUAAGGACUUCCUAUAGAGUUCCUAUAGAACCUCUCAGUAAAGCUGAUUGGAGCCCCUGUUGAUAUGGAUGUGUGUGGUACUCUCCCUCUCUCUCUGGUCACCUGCUCCUCUUCCUCCUCUCUCCUCUUUCUGCCCCCCCCCCCCCUCUUUGUCUAAUGUUGUAGCACAAACAGUGAAUGUGAUACCUGUAUACGUGUGAUUGUGUGUGCGUAUUUUAAUGUCAUCCUUUACUUCGGUCAGUGAAAAUGAAAUGAAAAUAAAAUAAAUGAAAAUGAAAAAACA
rnacentral:lncRNA from 1 species